CUACUCGGUCUGGUCCCGCCUAUUCCCUGCUCCCCGGGACCUUUAGGCUUGUCUUGGCUCGUUUGAAGACCAGGAAGUUGAUAAAUCGCGAGGCCGGCUGCUGAGAGACGGUGGCUCGGGUGGGACAGUCGCCAGGGAUGGCGGAGCGUGAGGAUGGAGCGGGUGUCCGGGCUGCUCUCCUGGACGCUGAGCAGAGUCCUGUGGCUCUCGGGCCUCUCUGAGCUGGGAGCUGCCCGGCAGCCCCGGAUCAUGGAAGAGAAAGCGCUAGAGGUUUAUGAUUUGAUUCGAACUAUCCGGGACCCAGAGAAGCCAAAUACUUUAGAAGAACUGGAAGUGGUAACGGAAAGUUGUGUGGAGGUUCAGGAGAUAAAUGAAGAUGACUAUUUGGUUGUUAUCAGGUUCACGCCAACGGUACCUCAUUGCUCUUUGGCCACUCUUAUUGCAAGAUUGGGAAACGUGAUGAAGAGAGCCCUAUGUCUGGGCUAUGCUUAAGAGUAAAACUUCAGCGGUGUUUACCAUUUAAACAUAAGUUGGAAAUCUACAUUUCUGAAGGAUCCCAUUCAACAGAAGAAGACAUCAACAAGCAGAUAAAUGACAAAGAGCGAGUGGCAGCCGCAAUGGAGAACCCCAACUUACGGGAGAUAGUGGAGCAGUGUGUCCUUGAACCUGACUACUAGCUGUUUUCAGAGCAACUGAACUGCAGUUGUUUGAUAUAUUUGUUUAAACUCUUUGUAAAAUGUAAAAGACUCAUGUUUAAUACAUAGAUGAUUUGUACCUCAAAGCAUUUUUUUAAAGGGUGAUUUACAAGCAAGAUUUAAUUAAAAGGUAAUAGUUUGUUCAGUGAUAACAUUCUCAGGAUUUGUAACAAUUAAAUGAUCAGACAGAAAAAUAUUUUCUAGGUAUUAUGUGUAAGGUGAGUUGCUAUUUUUCUGAUGCCUAUCCUGAUACAACUACUUUUCAUGUCAAAUAUUUACCAUGCCCCAAUGUAUUCCAUUUAAAUCAUUUCUCUGUAAAAUAAACAGCGAUGAUUCUUAUAA